rnacentral:tRNA from 1 species
UCACUAAGAAGCUAAACCGGGAAUAGCGUUAGCCUUUUAAGCUAAAGAUUGGUGGCCCCCAACCGCCCCUAGUGA